rnacentral:rRNA from 1 species
UACGUAGGGCGCGAGCGUUGUCCGGAAUCAUUGGGCGUAAAGAGCUCGUAGGCGGCCGGUUGCGUCUGCUGUGAAAUCCCGGGGCUUAACCCCGGGCGUGCAGUGGAUACGGGCUGGCUGGAGGCAGGCAGGGGAGAAUGGAAUUCCCGGUGUAGCGGUGAAAUGCGCAGAUAUCGGGAGGAACACCGGUGGCGAAGGCGGUUCUCUGGGCCUGUGCUGACGCUGAGGAGCGAAAGCGUGGGGAGCGAACAGGAUU